CCCUUAGAUGUUCUGGGCCGCACGCGCGCUACACUGAUGAAUUCAACGAGCACUAACCUGUGCCGAAAGGUUCGGGUAAUCUUGUGAAAUUUCAUCGUGAUGGGGAUUGAUUAUUGCAAUUAUUAAUCUUCAACGAGGAAUGCCUAGUAGGCGCAAGUCAUCAGCUUGCGUCGAUUACGUCCCUGCCCUUUGUACACACCGCCCGUCGCUCCUACCGAUUGGGUGUGCUGGUGAAAUGUUCGGAUCGGCCGUUUGUCGCGGUUUCCGCGUCAUGUGGCUGAGAAGUUCAUUAAACCCUCCCACCUAGAGGAAGGAGAAGUCGUAACA
rnacentral:rRNA from 1 species